CUCUCUAGGUCACCACAGCACUGGGAUGAGCUCCCUGUGUUACGCAGCAAACCCCCACUAGCUGCCUGUUUCACACAUGAUAGUGUAUAUGCAUCAGUGCUUGUCCUCACCAUCUUUAAGGGCUUACCUUGUACCCUCUGUCCUUACCACUGAGGAGGUUACUGAUAAAAGCUCUGGGGUCCCCUAGAGUGAGUUUCCCCCACAUUUGCAGCUCUGGAAGGCAGAAGGUUGAAUGGCCAGUGCUAAGAGUCUCGGACGCCGGCAGGGUGAUCGGGGACGGGGCUCUCCCCGGAGGACACAGCGCGAGCCUGGGGACGUGUCUGCCCUGCCUCCUUCCCUUCCCAGGUGGUCUUUCUCUCGACUACACAGGCCUUUCCUUGUUCUGUGGGAAAUCGGACAGGAAGCUGGCGUUUUCCUAGAAGGAUGCUCUGAGCCAAGUUUGUUCUUCCUGUGCCCCGUCUCUUCCCCGCCAUGAGCCCUACUUUCUCAGCAGCCUACGAGGUGACUUGAAGCUCAAAGCUGUGGGCAAAGAGGAAGGAGCUGUUUGUGGCCAUGUCAUCGUUUCUCUCCUGGGGAGUGGAGACUGUUACUGUGGUUACCCCCGUGACCACGUGGGUUCCUGGCCGUGUUGGGCACUGAGAUUCUGAAUGAGUCGACAAAGGGAUCUUGGGGCUGAAAAGGAGCCCGUGGUCCUUCUGCCCUCUGCCCUCCACUCAGGACGUGUCAGCCCCAUUUUCAGGUGAAGCAGCGAAGGCUCUAAGAGGUUGUAUGACGUGCCCGGGGCUGCAGAGGGAGGUGGUGGCAAGGGCCAGACGGCAGACUGGACCCCCAGCCCUGCAGCCCCUGUGAGCCCCGGUGCUGCUGCCACCGCGCCUGGCAUGUAGCCCUCAUCCUGGUCAGGCUCAGGCCAAGCCCUUACCCUCCGGGUAGGAGCCACUGUGGCUCCCAUUUCACAGAUGAGCAGAGACGCUCAGAGAUUUUAAUAAAACAGAUAGGUGUUGGUUCCCUAUUUAAAACAUACCUCCGUCCCCCUCGUCUCCUCCAUGAAGAUGAAGCGAGUGAUGAUGUCCCUGAUCUGGGGGGACCUAGAGCCCCUCUGUCCCCCCUCUUCAGUGCACACUCAUUUCCCCCCACCCCCGGCCGAUGCGCGUGCUCGGAGGACCCAGGCAGACCUUGCACAGCUCUAGGAGCACCGGCCCGGAGACCUGCCAGGCUGGACUGCACCCUGGAGCCGGACGAGGAGCAAGUGACAGAGGCGCAGUGGCUGCUGGAGGGGAGAGCAGCCCCAAGUGGCUUGAAAAGACCCCUUUGGCCUCAGGGUCAUCUGCCUGUGCUAUGUCAGACGUUCUCGGAUGAAGAGUUCAUCAACCAUGUGGGGGUCAACCAUGCCUGCCCCAGGCCCCUUCAUGACACAGGACGCUCGGGCGAGGACUCCUGAGGGCUUGGGGAUGUACUUGUUCUGCUGCUAAAAGAGGAGUGUUAAGAUCUCCAGCUGGAAUUGGAAAUGACUUCUCUUCAGUUCUAUUUACUUCAAAGCAGAGGUUCUGCUGCUGAGAAACGCACAAGGAACCUGUAGAAGAGGGGCCCACACUGACCUGUGUCCACAGCUUCCUGCAGUGAGCGGCCUGACCUCUCAUCUCCACGCGCACAGAAAGGCCUGGUGGGAGCGCCACUCCUUGCUGACCUCUGAGGACCCUUGCCCCGUCUCAGCCCCCUCUGAGGAUCAGGAGCCUCUCUGAUCCACCCUUGAAAGGACUAAUUUCAGAGUCCUGGUGACAGUGGAUCAUGGACCCGUGUGGAUUGUGAUGCCAACACCGGCGUUAGCACGUGGCCGUGGCAGCUUCUGAACUUCUUGCCGGCUUGCUCAUCAAUGAGGCGAGGGGUGUGUGUCUGCACAGGACGGCUGUGCUGCUUCACGCAGGUCUCAGGAAAUCCCAGCUGCUGCUGUGACUUCUGUUCCAGGUCGUGGUCCUGGGGCCUCUGGUGAGAGGUGAUCUCUGGUUCAGGGUUGGUUAGGAUCGAACUGUGUUCUCCUCGCUCUGUGCCCUAGACUGUCAGCCCUGUGGUAGUCCAACCUUUGGCGCCAGCUUCCUCAGGCCCCAGGCCUGUGCUAAUAGCCCAGGUCCCUGUGGCCAAAGGGAAUUUUGUUAGGCAUUUUUUAUGUUUUAAAGAUUAUUUUAUCUUGGAGGAUUGUUGAUUUGCAGUGUUGUGUUUAUUUGAAGUAUACAGCAGUGUGAUUCAGGUAUAAACAGACAUAUGUAUAUAUAAAUUUCUCAUGGCUUCUUUUUGCAUAUAGGUUAUGACAGAAUGGUGAGUAGAGUUCACUGUCCUCUAUAGUAGGCCCUUGUUGAUUAUCUAUU